rnacentral:rRNA from 1 species
UUUGGGAACAUAAGGGUAGCGAAGUGUGUGGAGAGGCUGUCAGGAAAAGCCGCUAUGGUGUAUCAUGAACCCGUACCGUAAACCGACACAGGUGGAUGAGGAGAGAAUCCUAAGGCCGACGGAAGAAGCAUUGUUAAGGAAUUCGGCAAAAUGACCCCGUAACUUCGGGAGAAGGGGUGCCUGCGCAAGCAGGUCGCAGAGAAUUGGCCCAAGCAACUGUUUAGCAAAAACACAGGUUUAUGCGAAACCGAAAGGUGAAGUAUAUGAGCUGACGCCUGCCCGGUGCUGGAAGGUCAAGGGGAGUGCUUAGACUUUGGUCGAAGGUGCGAACUUAAGCCCCAGUAAACGGCGGCCGUAACGAUAACGGUCCUCAGGUAGCGAAAUUCCUUGUCGGGUAAGUUCCGACCCGCACGAAAGGCGUAAUGAUUUGGGCGCUGUCUCGACAAUGCAUCCGGUGAAAUUGAAGUACCAGUGAAGAUGCUGGUUACCCGCGCCAGGACGGAAAGACCCCAUGGAGCUUUACUCUAGUUUGAUGCUGGGAUUCGAUACUGCAUGUACAGGAUAGGCGGGAGACUGAGAAGUAGGGACGUCAGUUGCUUCAGAGUCGCUGUUGGGAUACCGCCCCUGCAGUAUUGGGUUUCUAACCUGCGGCCGUAAGCCGGUCGGGGGACAACGUCAGGCGGGGAGUUUGACUGGGGCGGUCGCCUCCGAAAGGGUAUCGGAGGCGCUCAAAGGUUCCCUCAGAAUGGUCGGAAACCAUUCGAAGAGUGCAAAGGCAGAAGGGAGCUUGACUGCGAGACCGACGGGUCGAGCAGGUACGAAAGUAGGACUUAGUGAUCCGGUGGUAUGAAAGUGGGAUUGCCAUCGCUCAACGGAUAAAAGCCACCCUGGGAUAACAGGCUUAUCACUCCCAAGAGUUCACAUCGACGGAGUGGUUUGGCACCUCGAUGUCGGCUCAUCGCAUCCUGGGGCUGUAGCAGGUCCCAAGGGUUGGGCUGUUCGCCCAUUAAAGCGGUACGCGAGCUGGGUUCAGAACGUCGUGAGACAGUUCGGUCCCUAUCCGGCGCGGGCGUAGGAUAUCUGAAAGGAGCUGGCCUUAGUACGAGAGGACCGGGCUGGACGAACCGCUGGUUCACCUGUUGUCAUACCAAUGGCAUAGCAGGGUAGCCAAGUUUGGAAGGGAUAAACGCUGAAGGCAUCUAAGCGUGAAGCCCCCCUUAAGAUAAGAUAUCCCUGGAGUAAUCCAGUAAGACCCCUUGAAGACGACGAGGUAGAUAGGGCAGAGGUGGAAGUGUGGUAGCACAUGUAGCUGACUGUCACUAAUAGGUCGAGGGCUUGAC